AUGGCAAAAUAUUGGUGGAGUAGUUCGAUUGAUAAGCGGUCGCUCCACUGGAUCUCAUGGAAAAAACUGUCUACACCAAAGCAAGGGGGAAUGGGUUUUCGUGACCUUCAUAAUUUUAAUCUGUCCCUAUUAGGGAAACAAGGAUGGCGGCUCCUAACAAAUCCCAAUACUUUGUGUGCCAGAAUUUUGAAGGGAAGGUACUUCCCUGACACUGAUUUCAUGCAAGCUUCAGCUCCCAAAAAUUCAUCCGCAACUUGGAGAGCUAUUAUCUCCGGAAGGGAAGCGUUGCUAGCUGGUUUGAUCAAGAGAGUAGGAGAUGGGUCAACCAUUGCGGUCUGGGAUGAUCGAUGGACCCCGUCGACAACCACGAUGACUCCGCUAUUUCGACCACCGAACACAAAUGUUUCCCGGGUUGACGAACUGAUUGAUACUGAAACCUGGACGUGGAAGAGACAGCUGGUGCGAGACACUUUUAUUACACCAGAUGCGAAAGCUAUUUUGAACAUCCCGCUUCGCUCUGGAGGAGGUGAGGAUUUUUUUUUGCAUGGGCACACGAGGCCUCAGGCAACUACACCGUCAAAUCGGCGUAUCGAGCUCUAA
rnacentral:rRNA from 1 species